GUUGUGCCUCUCACCCUGGGUUAUGAGUGCCAUCCACUUUGCCAUCAUCUGGAGGUCUGUACUAAAAUCCACGGCGAUGGACUGGGCGUCAUGCAGAGUUUUAUGGUCAUCAGGUCUCAGCUGUAAGGAAUGAAUUCUGCUGGCCCCCAGCUUCCAGAUUGUCAGGGAGCUUAUCCUGAUAGCAAACCAGUCUGAUUCUUCGUCCUUCCACCCAGUGAUCUUGGUAAUCCCCUCUGGAGCCAAGCCAAACAGGCCUGAUCUCUCCUGGACAGGAUAGCUCUUCAGACAGGAAGGCAGGGGACGUGUCCCCUCCUCCACCCCCGAGUCUUCUGUAAGCUAAAUACCCCCCAUUCCUCAUGCGGCUUGAACUGAGACUGUUCCAGGAACAGGUAACCACUCUUCGAUUCCUGCCUUACUCCUGGGCACUUGAGUGCCAAGAGAUCCUCCUCAGCGUCUUAUGGGUGGAAAAGACAAUUCUCCACUCUCUCCACAGGAGCAGCCGGAGGCUUAGUACCAGGUGUUGGUGGAAUCCCAGGCAUUGGAAGCGUUGCAGGUGUUCCAGGUGUCGGUGGUGUCCCAGGAGCAGAAAGCCCAGCUGCAGCGGCCAAAGCAGCAGCUAAAGCAGCCAAGUAUGGGGCCAGGGCUGUCCCUGGAGUUGGAGUUCCUGGCUUUGGUGUGGGCCCUGGAGUUGGAGUUCCUGGCUUUGGGGUUGGCGCUGGAGCUGUUCCUGGUGCGGGGGUCGUUCCCGGAGGUAUCCCCGGGACAGCUCUCUCCCCUGCUGCUGCCGCCGCUGCCGCCAAAGCAGCUAAGUAUGGUGCUGGAGGUCUUGGAGGGAUAGUUCCUGGUGCUGGCAUCCCAGGUGUGGGAGUUGUUCCAGGUGGCGUUGGAGGCGUGGUAGGAGGUCCAGGGUUAGUCCCAGGUGUGGGAGGACUUGCAGGGGUCCCAGGUGUUCCUGGUGUCGGAGGUCUCCCAGGAGCAGUAUCUCCAGCAGCCCAGGCUGCGGCCAAAGCAGCUGCCAAAGCCCAGUAUAGAGCUGUUCCUGGGAUUGGAGGAGUCCCUGGCUUCCCACCUAGAGCUGUAGAUGGCAUCGUCUCCCCGCCUAGUGUUGGAGUCAUCCCAGGCUUUGGGGCUGGUGUAGCUCCAGGAGCCCUGGCAGCAGCAAAAGCAGCUAAGUAUGGAGCUGGUGGCCUUGGCGGUCUGGGAGGAGGCUUGGUACCUGGUGUGGCUGGCGUCCCAGGAGCAGGAAUUGGAGGUCUAGGAGGUGUUCCAGGUGAGUAGAGCGGUGGAGGCCUUGUCAGGCAGCCAACAAACAUUUAUUAAGCAUCUGCCAUG
rnacentral:lncRNA from 1 species